rnacentral:lncRNA from 1 species
CAGGCAGCGGCAGCGCCGCGGUGUCUGUGCCACCUGAGAGGGUGAGUGCCCGCUCGCUCCCAGCUCCCGGGGCCCGCGACUGGCUCCCAGAGCCUUGUUCCACAGCCCCCAGCUUCCUCCAUCCCAGCCAGAAGGGGAGAGGAACGGGGGAGACCCCGGGCUUGCACCACUUGGAGGUGUCGCUGAACUGCAAGGUUUGUGAGAUGGAAGAGAGGCCUCUGAGGUGCAGGAUGUUGGAAUGUGGCUAACCCAAAGGCUCGUGUGAGGGGGAGCCCCGUUGUCGCUCACAGAAGCCAGUGUUCUCUUUCCCCGAGAGAUGAAGGGAGGACCCCGGAGAUGCUGAACUUGGAGAUGUUGCUACCCUAAGGGCUGAUUUGGGGAAUGGCGGGGAGACCCCAGGAGUGCAGAACUUGGAGAUUUUGCUCAUCUAAGGGCUGAUCUGUGAAGGUGAAGGUGGGAAGAUCCCCGGCGUGCACAACUUGGAGAUGCGGCCAUCAGUAACGAGUCAGCCAAAUCAUCCCUAGGUUCCACAACCCAGGGGUCUCUCUGGACUCCAUAUGAAGGAGGAAACUGCUUUUAUGCAAACAAAGCCAAAGCAGACAAGAUUAGAAGGGAAACAAUAAACUGGAAAAACGGUUUUACAUUCAAGGG